rnacentral:rRNA from 1 species
UACGAAGGGUGCAAGCGUUACUCGGAAUUACUGGGCGUAAAGCGUGCGCAGACGGUUGCGUAAGUCAGAUGUGAAAGCCCCGGGCUCAACCUGGGAAUUGCAUUUGAGACUGCGUAGCUAGGGUGCGGAAGAGGGAAGCGGAAUUUCCGGUGUAGCGGUGAAAUGCGUAGAUAUCGGAAGGAACACCAGUGGCGAAAGCGGCUUCCUGGUCCAGCACCGACGUUCAGGCACGAAAGCGUGGGGAGCAAACAGG